GACGAACGCUGGCGGCGUGCCUAACACAUGCAAGUCGAGCGAGGAACUUCGGUUCCUAGCGGCGGACGGGUGAGUAACACGUGGGUAACCUGGCUCAUAGAGGGGGAUAGCCUUCCGAAAGGGAGAUUAAUACCGCAUAAGAAGCGAAAGUCGCAUGACUUUAGCUUUAAAGGAGCAAUCCGCUAUGAGAUGGGCCCGCGGUGCAUUAGCUAGUUGGUGAGGUAAAGGCUCACCAAGGCGACGAUGCGUAGCCGACCUGAGAGGGUGAUCGGCCACAUUGGAACUGAGACACUGUCCAGACUCCUACGGGAGGCAGCAGUGGGGAAUAUUGCACAAUGGGCGAAAGCCUGAUGCAGCAACGCCGCGUGAGUGAUGAAGGCCUUCGGGUUGUAAAGCUCUGUCUUUGGGGACGAUAAUGACGGUACCCAAGGAGGAAGCCACGGCUAACUACGUGCCAGCCGCCGCCGUAACAC
rnacentral:rRNA from 1 species